rnacentral:lncRNA from 1 species
UCUAUUUUUUGUUAUUUUGCUUUGCUUUGCUCGCUUAGAUUAUGUCAAAAAGGGGAGAAAGUUAAACAUCAUAACAGAAGGCCUUCAAGUAAGGGGAGCUAGUCGACUAUAAGGACAGGGAAUUUAAAUAAUGAGGAAGGCAGCGAGUCAAUAAGAAAGGGGGAACCAGUCGACUAUAAAGACAAGGAAGUCAACUGAUGUUUAUUGUUUGUCAUUAUUAAAAAGAAGGAGAUUGAUAGCUCCCUAUGUUGACAUAAUAUGUUUUAAUAAUGACAAACUAAUUAGUUGAUAAUAUGUAGGAUACAACAAAGAUGUAAACUUGGUAGAGUAUCUCGCACAAUCCCUAACUACAAGGAAGUCAGAGAUGGAUUUGGAACAACAUCAAGAAAAGAUCUCAUUAGAUCCCAAACUACAAGGAAGACAAUCGGCAAUCCCAGAGCAACAUGGAAAGAAGAUCUCAUAGAGAAACCAUGAAAGGAAGGAAAAUCACACCCCUUUAUGAACACAUUUGAUAUGGACAUGAAUAGUUAUGAGUCUGUAUCCAAGAAAGGCAGAUCAUAUAUUAUGUAUGGACAAAUCUGAUAUGGACGUACUAUAUGAUGUGAAUCCUCAAUCAAGGAAUCAUUUUAAAUCCUUGAUUGAGAAGAAAUCCCUUGGGUUUUCCUUAUGGAUCAAAGAAGCCGGAGCAGCUGAAGGAUAUAAAAAGAAAGACUGAAGAUCAAGACAUCUCACGUAACUUAACCAAAAAUUCUUAGUGUGUCUCAAUCUUAGUCUCCAUAAAGCUUUGUAAUUUCAAGUUUACAAUAGUUACAAAAAAGAAAGGCCGAGUCAACUUAGUCAUAUUAGUUGAGGCUUUGUUACAAGAUCUACAUAACAAAAUGAGUUUAAGAAAUUGUUUACUCCAUCUGUAUUCCAACUCAUACUUUGAAAGCUCGAACGAAACCCUUGUAAUCCAAGAGGACUAAAAGUAGGCACCACACUGGUGUUCCAAACUAGGAUAAAUCUUUGUAUUAUUUUCUUACUUACUUGUUUAUUUGCUUACGCAUUUAAAUUUAGUCUAUUUUAUUCAGUAUAGUAAUCUGCAGGUGAGUUGAUUGUCAAGACUGAUCAGUCGACUUAGGAAAAGUUUUAAUUCACCCUUCCUCCUCCCCCCUCCCCCUUCUUGAAUUUCAGUUCGGAUGAGUCCCCUCAUUCUAUUCUAACUCCACCCCUGAUGGUAUGCAUUAAGUUUUGGCAUUUGCUAUUAAUUAAUGAUUGUAAUUACUCUAUUAACUUUUCUUAGGAGUUGAAUUGUUAAAGUUAAUUCAUAUACUUGCAG